AUUGAACGCUGGCGGCAGGCCUAACACAUGCAAGUCGAGCGGAGCGGCGGACGAGUGAGUAAUGCCUAGGAAUCUGCCUGUUAGUGGGGGAUACAGUCCGGAAACGGGCGCUAAUACAGCAUACGAUCACAUAAGCCUAGGUCGGAUUAGAUAGAUGGUGGGGUAACGGCCUACCAAGGCGACGAUGCGUAACUGGUCUGAGAGGAGGAUCAGUCACACGGGAACUGCGACACGGGCCAGACUCCUACGGGAGGCAGCAGUGGGGAAUAUUGGACAAUGGGCGAAAGCCUGAUCGAGCCAUGACGCGUGUGUGAAGAAGGUCUUCGGAUUGUAAAGCACUUUAAGUUGGGAGGCGUUACCAACAGAAUAAGCACCGGCUAACUUCGUGCCAGCAGCCGCGGUAAUUC
rnacentral:rRNA from 1 species